ACCAGACUCCUACGGGAGGCAGCAGUGGGGGAUAUUGCACAAUGGGGGAAACCCUGAUGCAGCGACGCCGCGUGAGUGAAGAAGUAUUUCGGUAUGUAAAGCCCUAUCAGCAGGGAAGAAAAAAAUGACAGUACCUGAAUAAGAAGCCCCGGCUAACUACGUGCCAGCAGCCGCGGUAAUACGUAGGGGGCAAGCGUUAUCCGGAAUUACUGGGUGUAAAGGGAGCGUAGACGGCAAUGCAAGCCUGGAGUGAAAGCCCGCGGCCUAACCGCGGGACUGCUUUGGGAACUGUGUGGCUGGAGUGCAGGAGAGGUAAGUGGAAUUCCUAGUGUAGCGGUGAAAUGCGUAGAUAUUAGGAGGAACACCAGUGGCGAAGGCGGCUUACUGGACUGUAACUGACGUUGAGGCUCGAAAGCGUGGGGAGCAAACAGGAUUAGAUACCCCAGUA
rnacentral:rRNA from 1 species